rnacentral:rRNA from 1 species
UACGUAGGGCGCAAGCGUUGUCCGGAAUUAUUGGGCGUAAAGGGCUCGUAGGCGGUUUGUCGCGUCGGGAGUGAAAUCCACUGGCUUAACUGGUGGCUUGCUUUCGAUACGGGCAGACUGGAGGCAUGCAGGGGAGAACGGAAUUCCUGGUGUAGCGGUGAAAUGCGCAGAUAUCAGGAGGAACACCAAUAGCGAAGGCAGCUCGCUGGGACGUUACUGACACUGAGGCGCGAAAGCGUGGGGAGCGAACAGG